CUAUAAUUUCAGCAUAUGGAGUAAAAUGGGAAACAGAUAAAGCAAACUCAGAAUAAAAACACUCACGUCUCUCUCUCAACUCAUGUUCUGUUACUCCCACCGUCAUGCCAGAGGCGGUCCUCGGCGGCGGAGGCUCUAAAAUAUUUCUCGAAGGCGAAUCGGCGAGUUUCCUGAAGGAAUCCAGAAGUUGAGUUUUUUUUAUGAAUGAAAUCGAGAGAGGAAUUGAGAGGCUGUUUCUGGAUUUAUAGAAUGUAGAGGUUGUUAGAGGGUUGAUGAAUUCAGUUGUGAAAUUCAGUUAGAGUUGUAACUGAAUUCUGUUAGUUUGUUAGGUUUGUUAUUGUUAAUUGUUGAGUUAGUUGGUUUCUGAUUGUAGGUUAAGUGAGGUUAAUUGGAAAAUGAAAUGGAUGAAGUUUAGCUCCAUCCAAUUUCUGUUAGAUGAAACUUGUACAAUCUUAUUAUUGUUACUUGAUAAUUUCCUACUGCAUCAGUUUGUACUUCUUGUGUUAGAUUGGAUGACCGUGUUAUGAACAUUGUUGCAGGCUUUUGUAUUGUUGCUCGAUUGACUGAGUUGUUGGAUUUGCUGUUGAUGAAUGAUGCAGAAGUUUUGGUUUGUCGCUCAUAGUUUGCAAAAGUGAUUUGGUGAAUGUACGCAGGAUCUGCAGGUUGAUGUUGGUUCUGCAAUAUGAAAUUGCAGGAAAUGGUGAAUGGUUUAGGUCAUGUUACAUGUCCUGGCUUGGUUAAUUGUUGUUAUUAAAUGAUGAGUGUAUGCUGCAGAUAUGUUGCUUCUUCAUAAUGGUUGGCAUCUGGUCUGGUAUGUUCAUGGUUUUGGAGCCCUGAACAUGGUGGUCACCAAGUUGUGGUUGGAUUUGGGUUUUGUAGUUUUAGAACAUAGGAUUAUGUAUGGAAUAUGAUUUAUGGUUGUAAUUUGGAUUUGAAUGAUAUGGUUCAUGUUAAUCAUGGUUGAAUAUUGUAACUUGAAAACAAUGGUUGAAUGAAAUAUUGGAAUUAAUGGCUUA